rnacentral:tRNA from 1 species
GCCCGGCUAGCUCAAUCGGUAGAGCGUGAGACUCUUAUGAAGAUACUGCAAAUCCUCACGGUUCAUCUCAAGGUUGUGGGUUCGACCCCCACGUCGGGCU